CAUAUGUUGAAAAACCAGUUCCCAUAUGGUCACCAAAGUUAAUCAAUGUCAUGCUUGGUUAGUACCUAGAAGGGUGACCAUUUGGGAAGAGCAGGUGCUGU